rnacentral:rRNA from 1 species
CCUACGGGGCGCAGCAGUGGGGAAUAUUGGACAAUGGGGGGAACCCUGAUCCAGCGACGCCGCGUGAGUGAAGAAGUAUUUCGGUAUGUAAAGCUCUAUCAGCAGGGAAGAAAGAAAUGACGGUACCUGACUAAGAAGCCCCGGCUAACUACGUGCCAGCAGCCGCGGUAAUACGUAGGGGGCAAGCGUUAUCCGGAUUUACUGGGUGUAAAGGGGGCGUAGACGGCGAUGCAAGUCUGAAGUGAAAGGCGGGGGCCCAACCCCCGGACUGCUUUGGAAACUGUAUGGCUGGAGUGCAGGAGAGGUAAGUGGAAUUCCUAGUGUAGCGGUGAAAUGCGUAGAUAUUAGGAGGAACACGAGUGGCGAAGGCGGCUUACUGGACUGUAACUGACGUUGAGGCUCGAAAGCGUGGGGAGCAAACAGGAUUAGAUACCCCAGUAGUC